AACGCACCUUGCGCUCCUCGGUAUUCCGAGGAGCAUGCCUGUUGAGUGUCAUCGAAACCUCGAAACCGAGCAUCGACCUAGUCGGAGCCCGGUUCGGACUAUGGGAGUCUGCGGGCGAACCACGUCCGCUCUCCUCAAAAGCAUUAGCCGUGGGCAAGGGCCUCGCAUGGCACGGCCUCUUCGACGUCGUAAUGAUCGUCGUGGGCUGGAAGUGCGUCGCUCUAUGGACCCGUGCUUCCCUAGACUUGCGAGCCCGUUCGUAGGAACGGCCGCGCCGCAUCGACGCUUGACCUCAAAUCAGGUAGGACUACCCGCCGAACUUA
rnacentral:rRNA from 1 species